rnacentral:rRNA from 1 species
CGAAAAUUUAACGGGGCUAAAUCGUACACCGAAGCUUGGGAAUAUCAGUUAUUCUUCAUGGACUUGCAAGGAAAAAGACCAUGGCACGAAGUGCCAUCAAAUUGUCCAUAAGGAUAAAGCGAGCUUGUGAAGAAUAACUGAUGUUGGUAGGAGAGCGUUGAAUGCGGGGUGAAGUCAGAGCGAAAGCGCUGGUGGACUGCAUUGAAGUGAGAAUGCCGGAAUGAGUAGCGAGAUUUAUGUGAGAAUCAUAAAGGCCGAAAGACUAAGGUUUCAGAAGGAAGGUUCGUCCGCUUCUGGUUAGCCGGGAGCUAAGGUGAGGCCGAAAGGCGUAGCCGAUGCACAUACGGUGGAGAUUCCGUAGCCGUCGAAAUAUUUAAGCAAAGGGACACUUAUGAAGGACAUGACCCGGGCGAUGGUAGCCCCGGGCGUAAGGGACUGAAAACAAGUAGGGAAGCAUGUUUGGAUUAAGGCGAGAAAAGCUUUGUGUAUAUAUUAGACGUCCGUACCGCAAACCGACACAGGUAGUCAGGAAGAGGAUUCUAAGGCCAACGGGAGAAGGGUAGUUAAGGAACUCGGCAAAUUGACCCCGUAACUUCGGGAUAAGGGGCGGUGCGUAAGCACCCGCAGUGAAUAGGUCCAGGCGACUGUUUAUCAAAAACACAGCUCUCUGCUAAAUCGAAAGAUGACGUAUAGGGGGUGACACCUGCCCGGUGCUGGAAGGUUAAGAGGAGGAGUGCAAGCUCCGAAUUGAAGCCCCAGUAAACGGCGGCCGUAACUAUAACGGUCCUAAGGUAGCGAAAUUCCUUGUCGGGUAAGUUCCGACCCGCACGAAUGGUGUAACGAUCUGGACGCUGUCUCAACUGCCCACCCGGCGAAAUUGUAGUACCGGUGAAGAUGCCGGUUACCCGCGGCAAGACGGAAAGACCCCAUGGAGCUUUACUGUAACUUGAUAUUGGGUCUUGGUAUUCUAUGUACAGGAUAGGCGGGAGACUAUGAAACAUACACGCCAGUGUAUGCGGAGUCACCCUUGGGAUACCGCUCUUAGAGUACUGAGAUUCUAACCUGCGGCCGUGAAUCCGGUCGGGGGACAUUGUCAGGUGGGCAGUUUG